rnacentral:tRNA from 1 species
AUUUUUGUAUCUCGAGGUUUUGAAAGCCUUAUUGGGAGAAUUUGUUCUCCACUCCUU